rnacentral:tRNA from 2 species
GGGCAGUUAGCUCAGCGGUAGAGCAUCACCUUGACAUGGUGGGGGUCACAGGUUCGAUCCCUGUACUGCCCACCA